rnacentral:rRNA from 1 species
GCUUUUGUACACACCGCCCGUCGCUACUACCGACUGAAUGAUUUAGUGAGGUCUUCUGACUGGUACGCGGCAUCGACUCUGUCGUUGCCGAUGCUACCGGAAAGAUGACCAACCUUGAUUAUUUAGAGGAAGUAAAAGUCGUAACAAGGUUUCCGCAGGUGAACCUGCGGAAGGAUCAUUA